rnacentral:rRNA from 1 species
UGUCGUGCAGGGGAUGCCCAUCGUUUACUGUGAAAAAAUUAGAGUGUUCAAAGCAGGCUUAUGCCGUUGAAUAUAUUAGCAUGGAAUAAUGAUAUAGGACCUUGGUACUAUUUUGUUGGUUUGCGCACUAAGGUAAUGAUUAAGAGGGACAGUUGGGGGUAUUUGUAUUCCAUUGUCAGAGGUGAAAUUCUUGGAUUU